AGAGUUUGAUCAUGGCUCAGAACGUACGCUGGCGGCACGCCUUAUACAUGCAAGUCGAACGAAGUAGCAAUACUUAGUGGCAGACGGGUGAGUAACAUGUAGGUAUCUUCCCUUUGGUGAGGAAUAACACGAGGAAACUUGUGCUAAUACCUCAUAAGUCUUUACGGAGAAAGCUUUAUGCGCCGAAGGAUGAGCCUGCACUUGAUUAGUUUGUUGGUGGGGUAAUGGCCUACCAAGACUAUGAUCUAUAGCUGAUCUGAGAGGAUGAUCAGCCACAUUGGGACUGAGACACGGCCCAAACUCCUACGGGAGGCAGCAGUAGGGAAUAUUGCACAAUGGAGGAAACUCUGAUGCAGCGAUGCCGCGUGAGUGAAGAAGGCCUUUGGGUUGUAAAGCUCUUUCGUCGGGGAAGAAAAUGACUGUACCCGAAUAAGAAGGUCCGGCUAACUUCGUGCCAGCCGCCGCGGUAAUA
rnacentral:rRNA from 1 species